GACGAACCGUGCGAACCGUUAUUCGGAAUCACUGGGCUUAAAGCGCGUGUAGGCGGAUGAGCACGUCUGUCGCUGAAAUCCCCCGGCUCAACCGGGGAACGGGCGCGGAUACGGCUGGUCUGGAGGGGCGUAGGGGGACCUGGAACUUCCGGUGGAGCGGUGAAAUGCGUUGAGAUCGGAAGGAACGCCCGUGGCGAAAGCGAGGUCCUGGACGCCUACUGACGCUGAGACGCGAAAGCCAGGGGAGCGAACGG
rnacentral:rRNA from 1 species